UAGCAUAUCAAUAAGCGGAGGAAAAGAAACCAACAGGGAUUACCUCAGUAACGGCGAGUGAAGCGGUAACAGCUCAAAUUUGAAAUCUGGCGGCUAUCGUCCGAAUUGUAAUUUGUAGAAGAUGCUUUGGGCGUAGCUCUAUUCUAAGUUCCUUGGAACAGGACGUCAUAGAGGGUGAGAAUCCCGUAUGUGAUUAGUAGCUUCGUCCGUGUAAAGCUCUUUCGACGAGUCGAGUUGUUUGGGAAUGCAGCUCAAAAUGGGUGGUAUAUUUCAUCUAAAGCUAAAUAUUGGCCAGAGACCGAUAGCGCACAAGUAGAGUGAUCGAAAGAUGAAAAGCACUUUGGAAAGAGAGUUAAACAGUACGUGAAAUUGUUGAAAGGGAAGCGCUUGCAACCAGACUUGCAGGCUAUCGAUCAUCUAGGGUUCUCUCUAGUGCACUGGAUAGCUUUCAGGCCAGCAUCGGUUUGAGUGGUGGGAUAAAGGCCUUGGGAAUGUGGCUCUUCGGAGUGUUAUAGCCCAAGGUGCAAUGCCGCCUACUUGGACCGAGGACCGCGCUUCGGCUAGGAUGCUGGCGUAAUGGUUGUAAGCGACCCGUCUUGAAACACGGACCAAGGAGUCUAACAUCUAUGCGAGUGUUUGGGUGUCAAACCCAUACGCGUAAUUAACGUGAACGGAGGUAAGAACCCUUAAGGGUGCAUUAUCGACCGAUCCUGAUGUCUUCGGAUGGAUUUGAGUAAGAGCAUAGCUGUUGGGACCCGAAAGAUGGUGAACUAUGCCUGAAUAGGGUGAAGCCAGAGGAAACUCUGGUGGAGGCUCGCAGCGGUUCUGACGUGCAAAUCGAUCGUCAAAUUUGGGUAUAGGGGCGAAAGACUAAUCGAACCAUCUAGUAGCUGGUUCCUGCCGAAGUUUCCCCUCAGGGAUA
rnacentral:rRNA from 1 species